UGGGAUCAAAUUGGCCCUUUAUUUGAAAAUUUGGGAACUUGUUUGGGAAUUUCAAGAACUUGUUUGUUUGGGACAAUUUGGUCCAAAUUCAAAUAUAUCUUGUGUUGCGAAAAUGACUGUUUACCAGAUUUGCGUUAAUCUUAGUCUUUUUUGCAUUUCUGAAGGUGUUUUACCAUUGCAUAAGAGCUUUUUGCAUACAAAGACAUACAAAAAACCACUUGAAAACAGAUUAGUGAUAAAAACUAGCCCCUUGAGUAUGCUCUCUAUUUUGACCCAUUUUUAAAGACUUGGAUAAUUUCCCUUUGGCCAAACCUGGUUUUUAAGGUGACCAAAAUCUAGCACUCGUCAAAACUUAAACUUGCACACGUUGUUUUCUCAUAAAUAAUAUGUGCUAAAAUACUACAUUAUCAAGUUAAGGGAGAAUGACAUUUUCCUUUUUUGAGUCCCAAAAUUUUUCAAUUUCAAGGUUUUUCUCCGGUUUUGAAGCUAAUUGUUUUGAGAGUCACCUUUUUGCUCUUCAUAUGUAAAGGAAAAAGAGAGCCCAGGGAGUAGACAAAAUAAGGAACACCUCCUGCAAGGGAACAAUCAAGGAUGGAACAACACACCCGGCUAUAUCUUCUCAGUGAUAUGGUACAACUGUAAGGCCAAUGGAUGAAUGCGUGAUUCAUCUAAAAGAUCCAUAUUUCUGUUUCAACAUAAAUCAACUACAUUAGGUUGGUACACCACCCAGAUUUGUUACAUAUUUCGUCCACCAAAUUGUUAGCUUUCAUAUUAGCCUAUUUUAUAAUUCUGUGUACCAAUCAGCGGUGUUUGAAAGACAAAUUGAUGUAAAGUUGUCUUCCUUGAAUAAUUGUUACUCUGUGACCCUCACGUGUUCUCUUUCAUCCUAGUAGAAAUAGCAAUCAAAACAAGACUUACUCAUAAUUAGACUCCCAUAAAAGAUUGUUUAUUGAUUGGUUGGUUAUUGCUUUCUGCUCUGGCGUUCACUCAAAUUGUACCAACGCUUACGAUGUUGAAAGCCAGACUAUUCACCAUUCAGUUUGAUCUCAACAUCCUUAGUGAAUAAGCAGGGAUUACAGUGUAAGGAGCCCCGAGGAGUGUUGAGGGUUCCAGUUUGUUGAACAACGGCAAUCUUUUUAUCGGGUGAAAUUAAUUCCGAAAUGGACAAUUUAGAACCCAUGCCGACGACAUCGGACAAGGAAAUGGACGAAGAUCAGUCGCCCCAACAAGAAAUUGUGGACUCCGACCAACACGCCAAUGAAGCCUGGAGAGAAUCUGCGUCAAAAGUAGUAUCUCCGACCCACCAUCGUUUCUGUUGUCCAUUGUGUGAGAAAAAGUAUCACUGGCGAGUUUCAAUGAUAAGACAUUUAGAAAAUGUUCAUCAAGAAAGUGCAUCUCUGUGUUCAAGCAUAAAACAAAAGUAUCGGGAGCACACGAGGGAAUCAUCGUUCAAAUGCCCGCACUGUGAAAAGACCAUCCAGAAAAAAACCAGAAUCCGUCAUCUCCACCUGUGCAAAAAGGCAGGGAAAAUCGAGGGGCAGGAAAUCCGAAAACCAAAGAAAUCCAUGAUGGCUAGGUUUGAGGCUUCCAAAGUAUUGGAACAAGACAUCCAAGAGCCUGGGCAGAGCGAGGGUCCUCCGAAUUAUGAAUCUACUUCAUCGUCUUCCUCCCCAACACCUAACACGCCACAAUAUUUGAAUUCGCCAGUGCCGCAAGACGCAACAGAUCCGAUCCCUUCGACCAGUGGUGUCCAAAUUCCAAAACCUUUGGAAAUGAGUCAUGCGGCACAAGUCAGUGGGAAGGAAGCUAUUCUUCACAAAUUGACUAAAUACCUCUCGAGGCAAAAAAAGCAAUUGUCGAGCAGAAAUUACAGAAGAUUGACGGUUCAAAAUAAAGCCGAUUAGGGCAGAAGAAAACCGA